CCUACGGGAGGGCAGCAGUGGGGGAAUAUUGGACAAUGGGCGAAAGCCUGAUCCAGCAAUGCCGCGUGAGUGAUGAAGGGCCUUAGGGUUGUAAAGCUCUUUUACCCGGGAUGAUAAUGACAGUACCGGGAGAAUAAGCUCCGGCUAACUCCGUGCCAGCAGCCGCGGUAAUACGGAGGGAGCUAGCGUUAUUCGGAAUUACUGGGCGUAAAGCGCACGUAGGCGGCUUUGUAAGUAAGAGGUGAAAGCCUGGUGCUCAACACCAGAACUGCCUUUUAGACUGCAUCGCUUGAAUCCAGGAGAGGUGAGUGGAAUUCCGAGUGUAGAGGUGAAAUUCGUAGAUAUUCGGAAGAACACCAGUGGCGAAGGCGGCUCACUGGACUGGUAUUGACGCUGAGGUGCGAAAGCGUGGGGAGCAAACAGGAUUAGAUACCCCUGGUAGUCCACGCCGUAAACGAUGAUAACUAGCUGUCGGGGUUCAUAGAACUUCGGUGGCGCAGCACGCAUAGUUAUCGCCGUGGGAGACGGCGCGAGUAAACUACAAGAGAGUAGNGNGNGAGNGCGACGACGACGACGAGGAGGAGG
rnacentral:rRNA from 1 species